UUUUUUAUUAUUUUAGUUAAUGUAAAAAAAUUAUUAAUAAUUUUAAAUUAGAAGUGAAAUGUUAAUCGAUUAAAAUGAUAUCUAGUUUUUUUAGAAAUGAAUUUUAUUCAGUUAUUAAUUUAUAAAAAAAUUAAAUAUUUAAUUUUUUUAAUAUUAAUAAUAAAUAUUUUAGGGAUAACCCAAAAAAAUAAAAUAAUAAUUUUUAUAAAAAUAAUAAUAUAAAAAUGUAUUUAUAGAAAUUUAAAUCAUUAAAAAAAAUGUUAUAAUUUAUUAAAUUUUAUAAAUAAAAUUUAAAUAAUAAAUUUUAUAUAAAUAUAAAAAUAAUUUUUUUAAUUAUUUUAAAAAUGUAAUAAUGAUUAAAUUAGUAAAUAUUAUUUGUAUUAUAUUAAAUUUAAUUUUAAAAAUAAAUUUAAAGAAUUCGACAAAAAUUUUAUUCACCUGUUUAUCAAAAACAUGUCUUAUAGAAUUUAAUUAUAAGUCGGUUCUGCCCACUGAUAAAAAAUUGAAGGGCUGCAGUAUAUUGACUGUACUAAGGUAGCAUAAUAAUUUGUUUUUUAAAUGAAAACUGGAAUGAAGGAGCUGAUGAAAUAAAAAUUGUUUCAAAUUUAAUUUAUUGAAUUUAAAAUUUAAGUAAAAAUUCUUAAAUUUUUUUAUAAGACAAGAAGACCCUAUAGAAUUUUAUAAAAUUAUUAUUUAAAUUUAAAUAUGAAUUUUAUUUAAAUAAUUUUAUAUUUAAUUGGGAGGAUGAUAAAAUUAA
rnacentral:rRNA from 1 species